rnacentral:rRNA from 1 species
GAUGAACGCUGGCGGCGUGCCUAAUACAUGCAAGUCGAGCGAACGGACGAGAAGCUUGCUUCUCUGAUGUUAGCGGCGGACGGGUGAGUAACACGUGGAUAACCUACCUAUAAGACUGGGAUAACUUCGGGAAACCGGAGCUAAUACCGGAUAAUAUUUUGAACCGCAUGGUUCAAAAGUGAAAGACGGUCUUGCUGUCACUUAUAGAUGGAUCCGCGCUGCAUUAGCUAGUUGGUAAGGUAACGGCUUACCAAGGCAACGAGGCAUACCCGACCUGAGAGGGUGAUCGGCCACACUGGAACGGAGACACGGUCCAGACUCCUACGGGAGGCAGCAGUAGGGAAUCUUCCGCAAUGGGCGAAAGCAUGACGGAGCAACGCGGCGUGAGUGAUGAAGGUCUUCGGAUCGUAAAACUCUGUUAUUAGGGAAGAACAUAUGUGUAAGUAACUGUGCACAUCUUGACGGUACCUAAUCAGAAAGCCACGGCUAACUACGUG